GAGACACACCUAUGGAGCAGCAGGACUUGUUUCAGUGGGGCUUUGGUGCUCACUGAGUCUGCCCCUUCAGUGUGUCGCU
rfam:Myotis brandtii contig290947, whole genome shotgun sequence.